rnacentral:rRNA from 1 species
CCCCGAAAUGCAUUUAGGUGCAGCGUUGCGUGUUUCUUGCCGGAGGUAGAGCACUGGAUAGCUAAUGGGCCCUACAAGGUUACUGACGUUAGCCAAACUCCGAAUGCCGGUAAGUGAGAGCGCAGCAGUGAGACAGUGGGGGAUAAGCUCCAUUGUCGAGAGGGAAACAGCCCAGACCAUCAGCUAAGGCCCCUAAGAGAUGACUAAGUGGAAAAGGAUGUGGAGUCGCAGUGACAACCAGGAGGUUGGCUUGGAAGCAGCCACCCUUGAAAGAGUGCGUAAUAGCUCACUGGUCAAGUGAUUCCGCGCCGACAAUGUAGCGGGGCUCAAGUCAUCCGCCGAAGCUAUGGCAUUCAUGCCCUUUAUUGGUAAAGCCUAGCCGCCCUUGUGGUUGGUUCAGGUGUGUGGAUGGGUAGGGGAGCGUCGUGUCGCGAGUGAAGUCACAGGGUGACCUAGUGGUGGACGCGACACGAGUGAGAAUGCAGGCAUGAGUAGCGAAUCAGGAGUGAGAAACUCCUGCACCGAAUGAUCAAGGGUUCCAGGGUCAAGCUAAUCUGCCCUGGGUAAGUCGGGACCUAAGGCGAGGCCGACAGGCGUAGUCGAUGGACAACGGGUUGAUAUUCCCGUACCGGCAAAGUAGCGCCCAUGACGAACCUGGUGAUGCUAACCAUCUGAAACCUAGAUGACCGGACCCUUCGGGGCGAGGCGUUUAGGCGGAGCGUGGGAUCCGAACUAGUAGUAGUCAAGCGAUGGGGUGACACAGGAAGGUAGCCCAGCCACGCCGAUGGUUGUGCGUGGGUAAGCGUGUAGGGGGUGUCUUAGGUAAAUCCGGGAUGCUGACUUUGAUGUCGACCUUGAGACGUGAUGCCGACCCCGUAUGGGGGAAGUGGGUGAUCCUAUGCUGUCGAGAAAAACCUCUAGCGAGCUAUGCGCCGCCCGUACCCCAAACCGACUCAGGUGAUCAGGUAGAGAAUACUAAGGUGAUCGAGUGAACCAUGGUUAAGGAACUCGGCAAAAUGCCCCCGUAACUUCGGGAGAAGGGGGACCCGAACCGUUAACAUCUUUACGGUGUGAGGCGGGGAGGGUCGCAGAGACCAGGCCCAAGCGACUGUUUACUAAAAACACAGGGCUCUGCGAAGUCGUAAGACGACGUAUAGGGUCUGACGCCUGCCCGGUGCCUGAAGGUUAAAAGGAGGGGU